UGUUAGUAUAUUAGGUCUGUAUAUUAUGCAAAGUGCAACAUGGACAUGGUGGAUAGUUUUCAAGCAUGGAGCAGCUCACGCAAAUUUUUUAUUGUGGAAUUGUUCUCUGACCGUGGUAGUAGAUUUGAAUUUUAUGAAAGUAUAACCUAUUUAGAGCCACUGCACAGCUGCUGUUUUAAACUUGCAUGUGAUGAGAUCACAGUCAGAGUCAGGCCACGUCAUGGACAUGAAGUCAGGAAUAUAGAAAUACAGAACAGCAGCCUGGAAGUGAUGCUGGUUAACAUGUAGUCUAGUGGGAUGUGUUUUAAUCAGUACUUCUUGUUCCAUCAUUUGACAACAGUAACAGAAAAAUCUUAAAAGGUUGGUUGUAUUGAGAUGCAGUAGUGUUAAACACAGAGAGGAGGAGAGAAGUAAACACAUAUAAAAUGCUUCUUCACUGAAUAGCGCCUGUGUUACGGCCAGCGCCUCCUACCCUGUGUGUGUGUUUUAACUAUAUAUUGUGGCUAUGCAAAUAGGGCUGUGUGAUCCCCACUCCCUGGUUGGACCACGACGGCAGAGGCGUGACUGCAACCAGGAGUCCUGUGAUUGGUGCGGCGCUCACCAGGCUGACCAACCGAAAACUGCCAACUCUUUUAAAAGCGUUGGCAGUUCAAGUGAACGGAGCAGCUGGUUUCCAGCGUGUCAUUCUGUGUUUCUGUGUGGUUGAGGCAGAUACACUGUGUGGUAGGAAUUUAAAGGAGUUAAAAACUGAUACAGCAACAUUUCAUUACAGGUCGUUUUCUUUUGUCUAGUUUUCACCAGGGUUAGGAGUGCUGACUCUCAUGUAGUUUUGUUUUGUGCCAGGUCCCAGAGAGAAAAACUCCCAUAAUCUCCGUUCAGAGGCAGAUAGUGGAGGGGGACAUUUUUCAGGCCAACUGCAGCAUUAACUACUCCUGUCCUUCCUCACCUCCAUCCAUCCACUGGAAGAAAAGCUCAUCUCUGGAAAGCUCCACUUUCACCAGGGAAGUGCAAGGCCAGUGGUUAUAUAGAGAAACAAUGCACGGACUGGCAACAAAUGAAAUCCAUAACGGCAAACUGAGUUUUUCUGCACAGUUCAGAACCUUCACCACACAAAGUCAAGAAAUUACACUCAACAUUUUAUAUAAACCUGUUGCUGUAAGUCUGAAACUGGAAAACAAACCAGUGACAGAGGGUGGCAGCUCUGGUUAACUCCAAAGCUCAGCACAAGCAGCUGGUGGAGGAUCUCUGUCGCUCCUCCUUCACCCCAGCAGGUGGAGGCAUUUGGCCGCCCUCCCUGAGCCUGGUUCUGCUGGAGAUGUUGGCUCAUGGCAACUCGGCUGAUUUCACCUGUGAGAUGACUGUUGGAGUUUUGGCGAUUCUUCAGAGCCCUGAAAAAUACAGAAGAACAUGCAGCAUCAGUGUUGUAUUUGAUUUGCAUUUGUUCUUUCUCACUGCGCUUGUUUUUCCACAGGAUGAAACCACAGAGAAAGCAAGAGUAUAGGAAAGGUCAGCCUCUUCUACAAAAGCUGGUCCAUGCUAGGUGAUGGUCAGCGAACAGCAAUAAAAGAUAUGUAGCAAAUGAAAUACAAAUCUCUCAAAGGGCCAAGGCAUGUGGAUUGAAAAAAGUGAAUUCUCCAAAAUCAUUAAAUGUCCUAACAGAAAACAAUUUCAAAUUUUUAGACUAACAAAGAAAUUCAUUCUGGAUGUGAUACACUGCCAAGAAAAACAAUUCACCACACUUCCAUGUCUCCCCUUUCAUUGCUUUUUGGUCUUCAAUUUAAUUUGGGUUUUUGACAAAAAAAAAAAAUGGAGAAAAAAUGACUUUCAUGUCAAAGUUCAAACAGGUUUUUCCAAAGUAAAGUCAGCGAAUUAAAAAUACAAAACUUCAAACAAGUGACUGUGUGGUAGAAUAGGUGGUCCUACCAAGGGGUAGUCGGUUUCUAUUCUUAUUUCUUAAUUAGGUCGGUAUACAAUAAACUGAGUGCACAUCUCACUUCCUGUUAUCUGGUGUCUGCAGAUGUGGCUGCUUUGUCUGGUGCUGCUUUGGCUAAAUUAACUGUGCAUGUUGAUGGGGUUUAACUCUUAUGCCUUAACUGAUGAGUCAGGUGACUGAAUAUCCCAAUAAAAAAGGAAACGUUAGUUGUGCUUUCAUGCAUUUAACAUGUUGCCUUAUAAAAAAACCUCCUCCAUAUAGUAAGAUGGCUGAAAAAGUUAGGGGUAGUCUUCAUUUUAGUGUCUCAAAAGCUGUAAACUUACUUGAUAACACACAGCAGAGCACAAAAUAGUGCAAGCAAGAUGGCAAUUUUGGUAAAGAACAUCAGAAAUAGCACUGGAUCUGAAACAUAAAAUUGAAGAUUAGGACAUAAUUCGGACAUUCAUUUUUUAUAGAAGUAUGGAUAGCCUGCAUAAAUCAGCUUAAACAUGCUAUGACUUAUUGUCUUUUUGUCAUUUAUACCUACAAAUGCUUUUUUCCUUUAUCAAGACAGAGGUAUAUGUCAGUAUGUGGCUUUAUUGUUUCUUUUUAUGUCCUUGCUUUAUUCGUUGAGAAUGGUCUCCAGUAUACUAUUUUACACAAUAAUGUUCACUUACUUUGGUCUGCAUAUAAGAUGGUAUAUUAGGUUUGUGACCACAGUCUUCUGCAGAGUGUUGCAUUAUGGGUUGUUGGUAGUUUUUGACAAAACAUUAAAACCAUGCAUAUAACAUGUUGUAGUCCAACUUGUGCCACCAAAAGGGAACAGUUCUGAACCAUCUAGAGAUAGCCUCAACCUGACAGUCCAGUCAGUUGUGAGAUGGACUUAUUUAUCCAGCACAGAUGCUCGAUUGGAUUAGGUUGAAUUAGAUUUGUGACUAUGGUCUUCUACAGAGUUUUGCAUUGCACAGGGGUCAGGAUGGGUACUCAGACUUGGUUGCGCAAACUUUUGACUAUCAGUCAAAAGUUUGGACACACCUUCUUAUUUACAGUUUUUUCUUUAUUUUCAUGACUAUUUACAUUGUAGGUUCUCACUGAAGGCAUCAAAACUAUGAAUGAAGACAUAUGGAAUCAUUUAGUAAACAAAAAAGCUGCAAAGCAAUGUGUUUUAACAGAUCCGUCACAGCCAAACUUAAGGCUUUCAACUAUUUGUGCUGCAGAAGCUCUUCUGUGGGUUCAGAUUACACAGGCGGUCCUUUACAAUAGUGAGCCUUGGGUGCCCAUGACCCCGUUGUCAGUUCGUUGCUAACCCCUUCCUUGGACCACUAUUGGUGGUUACAAGCCACUACAUACUGGCAACAUCCCACAAAACUUAUAAAAAAAAAAAAAUUUAAAAAAAAAAGCAUUCUUCUGUGGGAGAAGUGGUGAUUUUUUUCUGGAUUACCAGGUCAUGGCAAAACAGUAGGUUUUGUGAUGCUUUGCAAUAAUAUUUGCAUUCCCUCUGAUCCACAGAGGAAGGCUGAGGAAUGAUAUAUGAGACCACUGCUGAUUCUACCUUCUAAAACCACUAACAAGCAGGAAAGACAUCAUGUAAAGUCUCACACUACGUCUACGUUCUGUAGAUGCUACCGAGCUGUCUGCUUAACUGGGAGUGUAGUAUAACUAGCCUAAACUGAAGUUAAAUAUUACAAAAAAAAAUAGAAAACAGACCAUGACUUUCAGCACAUGCUUGAUGCUCAAGGCAGAAUUGUUGACUGGCAAAUCCAAGAGAGUUGAAGCUGUGGCAGAUCAAGAUGGAACGAUUCAUCUCUUGUGGUUGAUUCACAGUGAUGAAGCUCCUCAGACCUUUGUCAUUAUGUAGACGCUCACUGCUGAUCACAAACUUGUCAGACUGACUGACAGGCUGACCAUCCAAAGACCAGUGUAAAGUGGGAAAAGGAUUUCCCACAGUCUCACAGGAACAGUUGAUCUGGCCUGCAGUUUUGAUGCAAUCAGAUGAUGGCAGGAUCUGUGGAGGAACUGCAAUCAAAGUAGGCAGAAGAAUCAGUGUAAGUCAAUAUAAUUUGACAAAAUAAAAAAAGAUGUACUGACAAAAUAAUGGUUGAAAAGUUAUAAGACUGAUUGAAGUGAACCAGUGAAGAGAAUCAUGAUGCAAAGUGAGAUCCUUUCGAAUCAUGUGAUCCAUACAAUAAACAUCUGUUUUACUGAUGACUGAAUGCC